rnacentral:rRNA from 1 species
GGAUUCCCCUAGUAACUGCGAGUGAAGCGGGAAAAGCUCAAAUUUGAAAUCUGGCGGUCUUUGGCCGUCCGAGUUGUAAUCUAGAGAAGUAAUGCCCGUGCUGGACCGUGUAUAAGUCUCCUGGGAUGSGGCGUCAUAGAGGGUGAGAAUCCCGUCUUUGACACGGACUACCAGUGCAUUGUGGUAUGCUCUCAAAGAGUCGAGUUGUUUGGGAAUGCAGCUCAAAAUGGGUGGUAAAUUCCAUCUAAAGCUAAAUAUUGGCGAGAGACCGAUAGCGAACAAGUACCGUGAGGGAAAGAUGAAAAGAACUUUGGAAAGAGAGUUAAACAGUACGUGAAAUUGCUGAAAGGGAAACGCUUGAAGUCAGUCGCGUUGGCCAGGGAUCAGCCUUGCUUUUGCAUGGUGUACUUUCUGGUUGACGGGUCAGCAUCAAUUUUGACUGCUGGAAAAAGGCCUGGGGAAUGUGGCAGCUUCGGCUGUGUUAUAGCCCCUGGUCACAUACGGCGGUUGGGAUUGAGGAACUCAGCACGCCGCAAGGCCGGGUUUCGACCACGUUCGUGCUUAGGAUGCUGGCAUAAUGGCUUUAAGCGACCCGUCUUGAAACACGGACCAAGGAGUCUAACAUGCCUGCGAGUAUUUGGGUGAAAAACCCGAGUGCGCAAUGAAAGUGAAAGUUGAGAUCCCUGUCGUGGGGAGCAUCGACGCCCGGACCAGAACUUUUGGGACGGAUCCGCGGUGGAGCAUGUAUGUUGGGACCCGAAAGAUGGUGAACUAUGCCUGAAUAGGGUGAAGCCAGAGGAAACUCUGGUGGAGGCUCGUAGCGAUUCUGACGUGCAAAUCGAUCGUCAAAUUUGGGUAUAGGGGCGAAAGACUAA